UGGUAAUCCCCACCUCGAAGUUGUUCUCUGCAUCAUAUCAAACUUUGAAAAAAGAAAAAAGGGAAAACUGUGUUUCCUUCAUCAUUGUUGUUGGUUGCUCCGUGCUGAGAAGGAGGAUGUCCCUACGUUCACCCCUUUUCUUCCUAGGAUUUUAUUAUGGACCUUUUUCUCAUCACUUCUUUGGAUAACCCAUGAAUUAAUUAAUAAUGUCACGUUGUGCA
rnacentral:misc_RNA from 1 species